UGGCAAGAACUAGACACAGACUACUCAGAUAAAAUUUGAUUUCCUUUUAUCUCAACAAUUGACGGUGUAAUUCGUAUUAAAGUUCAUAGAAGGAUUCUAGGCCAUUCAAGCUGUACCUUACUCAACUUUGACAUAAUGUCGGAGCCUCCAGGGAUAAGUUGAAAAGCGCCAGCCUAAAGCUAUUCCAAAUUACACACUUUGGAACAGGGAUUUUGUAUUUUUUGCCAUGUUUUGGACGUUAGCUCUCCGAUAUUGUAACAAAUGGGACAUUUCAGUUACUACUCCGUAGAUAUAUUAAAAUUUUAAUCGGCAGCCCGAACAAAUUGUGGAUUUAUGCAGAGAUAUUUAGUGGUUUGAAGGAGCAAAUUAACGCAUGCAUCAUGGGGAUAUGUACAAAAGCUUAA